AGUGAACGCUGGCGGCAGGCCUAACACAUGCAAGUCGAGCGGAUGAAGAGUACUUGCUCCUUGAUUCAGCGGCCGACUGGUGGGUGAUUCCUAGAAAUCUCCCUGUCUGUUUUUGAUAACGUCCUGAAGCAGGCGCUAAUACCGCAUUCGUCCUUACGACGUACGGGUGAGAGCUUCGGACCUCACGCUAUCGCAUGAUCCUAGGUCGGAUUAGCUAGUUGGCGGGGUAAAGGCCUACCAAGGCGACGAUCCGUAACUGGUCUGAGAGGAUGAUCAGUCACACUGGAACUGAGACACGGUCCAGACUCCUACGGGAGGCAGCAGUGGGGAAUAUUGGACAAUGGGCGCAAGCCUGAUCCAGCCAUGCCGCGUGUGUGAAGAAGGUCUUCGGAUUGUAAAGCACUUUUAGUGGGGAGGAAGAGCAGCAAGUUAAUACCUUGCUGUUUUGACGGUACCAACAGAAUAAGCACCGGCUAACUUCGUG
rnacentral:rRNA from 1 species